AAAUAAAUUUUAAACUAAAUAUAGAUACUAAAACUUUUAAUAAGCCAAAGGUUUGUUGA
rnacentral:tRNA from 1 species